CGGUACGUACUGGCAUUGUUGGUUUCUCCCUUCUGACGAACCAUGAUGUCAUUUAUUUGGUGUUGUGGGGAAUCAGGACUGUUACUUUGAAAAAAUUAGAGUGUUUAAAGCAGGCUCACGCUUGAAUACAUUAGCAUGGAAUAAUGAAAUAGGACGUUUGAUUCUAUUUUGUUGGUUUCUAGGAUCGACGUAAUGAUUAAUAGGGAUAGUUGGGGGCAUUAGUAUUCAAUUGUCAGAGGUGAAAUUCUUGGAUUUAUUGAAGACUAACUACUGCGAAAGCAUUUGCCAAGGAUGUUUUCAUUAAUCAAGAACGAAAGUUAGGGGAUCGAAGACGAUCAGAUACCGUCGUAGUCUUAACCAUAAACUAUGCCGACUAGGGAUCGGAUGAUGCUAAUUUUUUAAUGACUCAUUCGGCGCCUUACG
rnacentral:rRNA from 1 species